CUCCCCCGUCUCCACCUCCAGCGCGCCGCCGGCCCCCGCCAAGCGCCGUCGCAGUCUGCCCUCACCCCUCCGCCGCGCGCCGCCGCCGCCCCUCCGCCGUGCGCCGCCCCCACCCCUGCGGCUUUCCACCACCGGCGACACUCGACGCCGGCGCCGCACCUUCCCCCAACUCCUCUCUCUCCUCCUCCUUCGUCGUCACCGCUCUUCAUCAGCCGGCAGACUCUGUCCAAAUGGGCAGGCAGCGCUGGAGUUCAUCGGAACGGGUAGGCGGGCGGCGGGCGACGCGAGGAAGAUGGCGGAUCUGGGCACGGCGUCGAGGGUUCAGGCGGCUGGUGCGGCAGCUUGCUCCGAUGGCGCUGGUGUCCUGCUCAUCCAGAGAAAGAGAGAGAUAUGGCGUGAGGGAGAGAGGAAAGAGAGGAAGAAAUGAGAAGGAGAAGGGGCGCAGGGUGAGGGAGGCAGUCGCCGGCGGUGGCGCCGCUCUGCCGCUGCAUCUCUCUUCCCCCACGUCCCUACUGCUGCUCCUCUAACUCAAUCUCUCUGCUGUCGAUUCUCUGCCCGCUGCUACCUCUCCUCUCUGCUCCUUGCUGCCUGUGACUGUCCCAUCUCUCCUAGCGCUGCUGCUGCUGCUGCAUUUCUUCUGAAGCUCUUCUCAAACCCGUUGAUGCAGUUCUUCUCUGAACUCCAACAUGUUGCUGCUUCUCUCUCUCUCUCUCUCUCAAUUAUUCUGUAAUUUUGUGAACCACAAACCAUUUUUGUGCCAUUAUAUGAUUUGUGGUAUUUGCUUGAGUGAACCUGUAAGGUUUGUACCUUCUGGAAAGUGCUAGCACCUACAUAUUAUCCAAUUUUUUCUAAAUGUCAUGAGGCAUGAGCCACAAUAUUUCUCAAGAACGACCGUUGGUAUAUAUAAGGCAUGCAUACAAUUUUAAUAACACUCUUUUUGCUCUCAUUUAUCUGUUGGCAUAGAGCAUCGUAUAAUAUAGAAGAGUCAUUCAAACAUAGCUCUUUGAAUAUCGGACAAAAUAUUGGUUGCCUGAUUUAUUUAUAAGAAGAUUCUUCUGUGUAUUUAGUUACAUGAUUUUAAUUUGAUCGUCUUCUUUCAACUUUUUUUUGCCAAGUAUGAUAUUUCCUUAGGUUCACCUUGACCUUCACUGCUCUUGUGUAAGAGCUUAAGUAAAUUGAUGUUGUAUCAUCAGAAUCUGUAGCCUUGCAUAGUUUUUUUUUGUCUGUACAUACACUUUAAUUUCUUGCUCGCACUGAAAUCCCUCUUUGUCACCGGAUGAAUCAGAAACUGAAGAUGAUGAUCCCAUGGACACAGAAGAAGCUUCCUCUGUCCACAUCGCUGCACUGCAGUCUUUCAGCCAAGCUCUGGUGAACUUUGAAAUCUAGUUUAGAGAAUUGCUCAUGACUUGACAGAAAUCAUUCUUAUGAGCACAUCAUUUGAUUCUAUUACUAGGUCAGUCAACUUGAACUACCAUGUGGAAGUGGAACUAUUGUUGUCUGUCAGUUAAGACAGUCGGGAACUUGGUGUUGUCAUUCCUGGCUAUUGUAUUAGGAUACUAGCAGCACUUACAUGCAGAUAUGCUUGUGAUUCUAAAGAUAGUACACAAGGUGAUUGAUGUGUGGGUCGCUCAAGUCCUGUGGGGUGCUGGGCUAAAGGUGUUCCAUAUACAUGAACCAUAAACUAGAAUUGAAAUUAUUCUCCGCACGCACAAGUAAAACCUAUGCAAAGUGAACAAUCUCACAGUUGCAGCUUAUAUUCAGUACUUCUUCAUUACAAAUGUCGAUUUCAAAGCAUUUUCUUUCUCUAAUUCUGCAACUUUAUAAACUGCAGCUCAGUUUUGCUCACAAAUGUUUUGCUCCUCAUAAAACUAAUUUUCUACUAACUGAUUUCCGUAUUUCCAUUAUAGUUUAUUCAUUACCAUGUUCAAGGAAUUAUCAGCGUUUUUUCUGACUUGGUCAACUUACCCUUGCAGUAAUUUAGCAGUUGAGAUCAAGAUGCUACUCCAAUCUAUAUAUGAAACCAAAUCAGGUGGGCUUGAUGACAAAGAGGUUACUCCAAGAACAAGUGCAUUGUCAAGCUAGAUGUUUUAUAUUAUCCGUCCAUAAUCUGGAUGCUUGUGUAUCCUGCGACUUGGUUCAUCCAGGAGGUAUUUGUGUUCAAACACAAGUGUGGGCUGCUUGCAGGGUAGAGCAUAAUUGGAUUUUAAAGCCAUUUAUAAUGUCCUGCAAAACUAUAAGUUUGAACAAAGGUACAUUAAGUUGUGUCACUCACAUGGACAGUGUUGCCAUCUAUAAUGCCUUACAAGUCUGAGCUCCAUCAUGAUAAUCUGAUUAGUGUGUCGCAAGUCUGCUAUUUCUAACUGUACAAAUUCUGCACUUAUUUAGCAUUUUACAUGAUGCGUAGAUUUUUCAGAACAGAAAUAAGUCAAUCCUUAUAACCUGAUUUUGCUAUAUUAUUUAGUUCGAAGUUACUUUGUAAAUCCCAGUUUCCCCAGUAUUGUAACUCUGUGUCAAAUUAAAUUGAUAUUUCUCUUGUGAACAACUUCAAUUUGUAAUAUCAUGAUUUUCUUUUUCAGAAACCACUUCAACUAGCCUAGGGCUAUGUCUAUUAGUCUUCCAGUAUUUCUUGGAAUGAGAUAACACAUGUUUCUUCAAGUGUCUACACACUACAUGAAGUAAGUUUCUUAUAGGAGUAGUCAAACCUGGAUACCAAUUUAUUGGAACAUUAUAUCUCUUAUAGAAGUAGUCAAACAUGGAUAUCAAUUUAUUGGAACCAUCAAGGAAGAGACACUCCUGGAGGGUCAGAAGUAAUGCAAUAUAUUCUCUCUCUUAUGCCUAUUUGAAAUACAGUUGUAGGGUUGUACUUUGCCACUCAUAUUGCAGUACUCAACUGUAGCAUGGAUGGAGCAGGAAAGUGUGCUAAACCUUCUAACAUGGACACUGCACUUGUACGAGCUACGGGCCACUAUUGUUUGUCAUAUGGAUUGUAGAUGUAGUGGUAAUGUACCACAUUUUUCA